rnacentral:rRNA from 1 species
UACGUAGGGGGCAAGCGUUAUCCGGAUUUACUGGGUGUAAAGGGAGCGUAGACGGCGAUGCAAGUCUGAAGUGAAAGGCGGGGGCCCAACCCCCGGACUGCUUUGGAAACUGUAUGGCUGGAGUGCAGGAGAGGUAAGUGGAAUUCCUAGUGUAGCGGUGAGAUGCGUAGAUAUUAGGAGGAACACCAGUGGCGAAGGCGGCUUACUGGACUGUAACUGACGUUGAGGCUCGAAAGCGUGGGGAGCAAACAGG